UACAGAGGGUGCAAGCGUUAAUCGGAAUGACUGGGCGUAAAGCGUGUGUAGGUGGUUGGAUAAGUUAGAUGUGAAAUCCCCGGGCUCAACCUGGGAACUGCGUUUAAAACUGUUCAACUAGAGUACUGUAGAGGGUAGUGGAAUUUCCAGUGUAGCGGUGAAAUGCGUAGAUAUUGGAAGGAACACCAGUGGCGAAGGCGACUACCUGGACAGAUACUGACACUGAGACACGAAAGCGUGGGGAGCAAACAGG
rnacentral:rRNA from 2 species